rnacentral:rRNA from 2 species
UGUGGUAAUGAUGGAAAGAAGGACACACCUGUACCCAUGUCGAACACAGCAGUUAAGCUUCUUAUCGCCGAUGGUAGUUGGAGGGAAACUUCCCGCAAGAGUAGGACGUUGCCACGC